UUUCUGAAACAGCCCUCUAAUGUUUGGAAGAUGUUCUGGUUGAGCUGUAAUGUUGAAUAUUUAUCUGUGUUUUUAUAGUUUAACUAUUGAUGAGGAAUAGAUGAUAGUGUAUUGAUCAUUUUCCCUGUGUAUGUUUCUCGUUGAUUUCCUCCAGGUAUGACCACUUCACCCACAAUCGCUGAAACGAACGCAGAGACAUCAUCCACUAUCAGAGAGACAUCAUCCACAAUCACAGAGUCCUCAUAAGAUAAAGAAGUUCUUUGAGACCAGGACAGAGACCUCCAGGUGUCACCACAUCGUCCACAAGAUCGUCCACAACUGACAAGAUGUUGUCCGCGAUCGGAGAGACAUUGUUGAGGAUGAGGGAGACAUUGUCCACGAUCAGAGACAUUGUCCAUGCGCUCAUAGAGACAUUGUUGAUGAUCGCAGAGACUUUGUCCAUAAUCUCAGAGACAUUGUGCGUGAUUGACGUCAUCCAUGAUCAAAGAGACAUGGUUCAUGGUCAGAGAGACAUUGUUGAGGAUGAGGGAGACAUCGUCCAUGAUCAGAGACAUUGUCCAUGAUCGCAGAGACCUUGUCAAAGACAAGAGAGACGUUGUCCAUGAUCAGAGACAUUGUCCCAUGCUUCGUAGAGCUCUGCGCAAGAAUCGGUAGAGACACUGUGGUUCCUCGAUUCGACGGCAUGACCGCGAUCAUGGAGACAUUUGUCGAUGAUCACAGAGACACCGUUUAUGAUCUCAGAGACAUCGUCCUCGAUCACAAAGACAUUGUCCAUGAUCACAGAGACUUUGUCCAUAAUCUCAGAGACAUUGUCCGUGAUCACAGAGACGUAGUCCACCAUCACAGGGUCUUUGUACAAUGAAGAAGUUCUUUGAGACCAGGACAGAGGCCUCCAGGUGUCACCACUUCGUCCACAACAUCAUCCACGAUCGCAGAGAUGGUCCAUGAUCGGAGAGACAUUGUUGAGGAUGAGGGAGACAUCGUCCAUGAUCAGAGACAUUGUCCAUGAUCGCAGAGACCUUGUCAAAGACGAGAGAGACGUUGUCCAUGAUCAGAGACAUUGUCCCAUGCUUCGUAGAGCUCUGCGCAAGAAUCGGUAGAGACACUGUGGUUCCUCGAUUCGACGGCAUGACCGCGAUCAUGGAGGCAUUUGUCGAUGAUCACAGAGACAGCGUCUAUGAUCUCAGAGACAUCGUCAACGAUCACAAAGACAUUGUCCAUGAUCACAGAGACUUUGUCCAUAAUCUCAGAGACAUUGUCCGCGAUCACAGAGAUGUAGUCCACGAUCACAGAGUCUUUGUACAAUGAAGAAGUUCUUUGAGACCAGGACAGAGACCUCCAGGUGUCACCACUUCGUCCACAACAUCAUCCACGAUCGCAGAGAUGGUCCAUGAUCGGAGAGACAUUGUUGAGGAUGAGGGAGACAUCGUCCAUGAUCAGAGACGUUGUCCAUGAUCGCAGAGACCUUGUCAAAGACGAGAGAGACGUUGUCCGUGAUCAGAGACAUUGUCCCAUGCUUCGUAGAGCUCUGCGCAAGAAUCGGUAGAGACACUGUGGUUCCUCGAUUCGACGGCAUGACCGCGAUCAUGGAGGCAUUUGUCGAUGAUCACAGAGACAGUGUCUAUGAUCUCAGAGACAUCGUCCACGAUCACAAAGACAUUGUCCAUGAUCACAGAGACUUUGUCCAUAAUCUCAGAGACAUUGUCCGCGAUCACAGAGACGUAGUCCACCAUCACAGGGUCUUUGUACAAUGAAGAAGUUCUUUGAGACCAGGACAGAGGCUUCCAGGUAGUUCACAAACAGCUUUACAUCAAUUGUCCAACA